rnacentral:rRNA from 1 species
AGCGAACGCUGGCGGCAGGCCUAACACAUGCAAGUCGAGCGCCCCGCAAGGGGAGCGGCAGACGGGAGAGUAAUACGUGGGAACGUACCCUUUGGUUCGGAACAACCCAGGGAAACUUGGGCUAAUACCGGAUAAGCCCUUACGGGGAAAGAUUCAUCGCCGAAGGAUCGGCCCGCGUCUGAUUAGCUAGUUGGUGGGGUAACGGCCCACCAAGGCGACGAUCAGUAGCUGGUCUGAGAGGAUGAUCAGCCUCACUGGGACUGAGGCACGGCCCAGACUCCUACGGGAGGCAGCAGUGGGGAAUAUUGGACAAUGGGCGCAAGCCUGAUCCAGCCAUGCCGCGUGGGUGAUGAAGGCCCUAGGGUUGUAAAGCCCUUUCGGCGGGGAAGAUAAUGACGGUACCCGCAGAAGAAGCCCCGGCUAACUUCGUGCCAGCAGCCGCAGUAA